UACGAAGGGGGCUAGCGUUGCUCGGAAUCACUGGGCGUAAAGGGCGCGUAGGCGGCCUGAUAAGUCGGGGGUGAAAGCCUGUGGCUCAACCACAGAAUUGCCUCGAUACUGUUGGGCUUGAGACCGGAAGAGGUAAGUGGAACUGCGAGUGUAGAGGUGAAAUUCGUAGAUAUUCGCAAGAACACCAGUGGCGAAGGCGGCUCUCUGGGACGGUACUGACGCUGAGACGCGAAAGCGUGGGGAGUGAACAGG
rnacentral:rRNA from 1 species